UACGAACCGUACAAACGUUAUUCGGAAUCACUGGGCUUAAAGGGUGCGUAAGCGGCCAUGUAAGUGAGGUGUGAAAUCCCUCGGCUCAACCGAGGAACUGCGCUUCAUACUGCAUGGCUUGAGGGAGACAGGGGUAAGCGGAACUGAUGGUGGAGCGGUGAAAUGCGUUGAUAUCAUCAGGAACACCGGUGGCGAAAGCGGCUUAUUGGGUCUCUUCUGACGCUGAGGUACGAAAGCUAGGGUAGCGAACGGG
rnacentral:rRNA from 1 species